rnacentral:rRNA from 1 species
GCCGCGGUAAUUCCAGCUCCAAUAGCGUAUAUUAAUGUUGCUGCAGUUAAAAAGCUCGUAGUUGGAUUUCUGACUUGGCGCACCUGGCCCGCCACGGUUACGUGUGUGAGUGCCGGGAUGCGCCUGUCACUUUUCUAGUAAACUAUUGUGCUCUUCAUUGAGUGUGAUAGGUAGCUAGAUAAUUUACUUUGAAAAAAUUAGAGUGUUUAAAGCAGGCGUUUGCUAUGAAUACAUUAGCAUGGAAUAAUAACUUAGGACUUCGGUUCUAUUUUGUUGGUUUCUAGGACUGAAGUAAUGAUUGAUAGGGAUAGUUGGGGGUGCUAGUAUUCAGCGGCCAGAGGUGAAAUUCUCGGAUUCGCUGAAGACUAACUUAUGCGAAAGCAUUCACCAAGGAUGUCUUCUUUAAUCAAGAACGAAAGUUGGGGGAUCGAAGACGAUCAGAUACCGUCGUAGUCUCAACCAUAAACUAUGCCGACUAGGGAUGAGUGAACGUUGCAUAAUCGACUUCAUUCGCACCUUAUGAGAAAUCAAAGUCCUUGGGUUCCGGGGGGAGUAUGGUCGCAAGGCUGAAACUUAAAGGAAUUGACGGAAGGGCACCAUCAGGAGUGGAGCCUGCGGCUUAAUUUGACACAACACGGGGAAACUUACCAGGUCCAGACUCAGUGAGGAUUGACAGAUUGAAGAUCUUUCUUGAUUUUGAGGGUGGUGGUGCAUGGCCGUUCUUAGUUGGUGGAGCGAUUUGUCUGGUUUAUUCCGUUAACGAACGAGACCACGACCUGCUAAAUAGUUCAAGUUAGGGUUCGCUCUAGCUGUUGUGACUUCUUAGAGGGACUAUCGGUGUGUAGCCGAUGGAAGUUCGUGGCAAUAACAGGUCUGUGAUGCCCUUCGAUGUUCUGGGCCGCACGCGCGCUACACUGAUGCAUUCAUCGAGCUACAACCUUGUCUGAGAGGACUGGGUAAUCUUUGAAAAUGCAUCGUGCUGGGGAUAGAUUAUUGUAAUUAUUAAUCUUCAACGAGGAAUUCCUAGUAAACGCGUGUCAUCAACACGCAUUGAUUACGUCCCUGCCCUUUGUACACACCGCCCGUCGCUACUACCGAUUGAAUGAAUUAGUGAGCUCCAGAGAUCGAGCUGUUUCGGGCAACCGGGGCAGUUUGAGAACUGGAUCAAACUUGCUCAUUUAGAGGAAGUAAAAGUCGUAACAAGGUUUCCGUAGGUGAACCUGCGGAAG